UACGGUAGGGUGCGAGCGUUGUCCGGAAUUAUUGGGCGUAAAGGGCUCGUAGGCGGUUUGUCGCGUCGGGAGUGAAAACUCAGGGCUUAACCCUGAGCCUGCUUCCGAUACGGGCAGACUAGAGGUAUGCAGGGGAGAACGGAAUUCCUGGUGUAGCGGUGAAAUGCGCAGAUAUCAGGAGGAACACCGGUGGCGAAGGCGGUCUCUGGGCAUUACCUGACGCUGAGGAGCGAAAGUGUGGGGAGGCGAACAGG
rnacentral:rRNA from 1 species